AGUGAACGCUGGCGGUAGGCCUAACACAUGCAAGUCGAACGGCAGCACAGUAAGAGCUUGCUCUUACGGGUGGCGAGUGGCGGACGGGUGAGGAAUACAUCGGAAUCUACUUUUUCGUGGGGGAUAACGUAGGGAAACUUACGCUAAUACCGCAUACGACCUACGGGUGAAAGCAGGGGAUCUUCGGACCUUGCGCGAUUGAAUGCGCCGAUGUCGGAUUAGCUAGUUGGCGGGGUAAAGGCCCACCAAGGCGACGAUCCGUAGCUGGUCUUGGAGGAUGAUCAGCCACACUGGAACUGAGACACGGUCCAGACUCCUACGGGAGGCAGCAGUGGGGAAUAUUGGACAGUGGGCGCAAGCCUGAUCCAGCCAUACCGCGUGGGUGAAGAAGGCCUUCGGGUUGUAAAGCCCUUUUGUUGGGAAAGAAAAGCAGCAGGUUAAUACCCCGCUGUUCUGACGGUACCCAAAGAAUAAGCACCGGCUAACUUCGUG
rnacentral:rRNA from 1 species